rnacentral:lncRNA from 1 species
GGUGGAAGUCUCUGUGUGAGAUUGGUGCCUUCUGUUUGCAAACCAAAGAGGAGUUAUUUGGGUUUACUCCAGAACAAGGUUUGUUUGUUUGGUUGGUUUUUUUUUAAAGGACACAGAGACACGAAGAACAGGAAACAACCUCACAGGCACUGACGUCCACAUCUGGAGAGGCUGAGCUGCCAGCAAAAACUCUUUGUCUACGAACGGUACACCUAUAGAGACAAGCC